GACGAACGCUGGCGGCGUGCUUAACACAUGCAAGUCGAACGGAAAGGCCCUGCUUUUGUGGGGUGCUCGAGUGGCGAACGGGUGAGUAACACGUGAGUAACCUGCCCUUGACUUUGGGAUAACUUCAGGAAACUGGGGCUAAUACCGGAUAGGAGCUCCUGCUGCAUGGUGGGGGUUGGAAAGUUUCGGCGGUUGGGGAUGGACUCGCGGCUUAUCAGCUUGUUGGUGGGGUAGUGGCUUACCAAGGCUUUGACGGGUAGCCGGCCUGAGAGGGUGACCGGCCACAUUGGGACUGUGAUACGGGCCCGACUCCUACGGGAGGCAGCAGUGGGGAAUAUUGCACAAUGGGCGGAAGCCUGAUGCAGCAACGCCGCGUGCGGGAUGACGGCCUUUGGGUUGUAAACCGCUUUCGCCUGUGACGAAGCGUGAGUGACGGUAAUGGGUAAAGAAGCACCGGCUAACUACGUG
rnacentral:rRNA from 1 species